CUUACAACCCUCCAUAGGCAGAGCAGGGAGGGGAGAGGCCGUGUAUUCUGUCUCCAUCUGCUGCGCAGGGCGGGGGGACGUCACUCGUCAUCAGAGAGAGCCAGCGUUGCUGUCGCGCACCACCACUACCGCCGCUGCUGGCAUAAAUAGGGUUUUGAUUGUAUACAUCAAACUUAAAUUCCCAUGAGAUAUCAAACCAAGACAGAACAUUUGGGCCUAAUGACCCUUAUCAACCAGUAUGGAUCACAUACGUGAAAGAAAGAACAAACGGAGAAGAAAGGGAAUACCAAUGUCCUAGUUUCUUCAGAGAUGUCAUGAACAAAAAACCUGGAUUGUAACCGUAUUAUAUUAAGCGACAAAUCUCGGUUCUGUCCCCUGCUGGUAGGAUGAUCUGAGAAGUCAUUGCAUACAACAGUCGUCACCCCUAGUAGUGAUACGAGGGACAUUAACAGCUCAGCGACAUGUGCAGGACAUCCUAGAACUAGGACAGGACAUCCUAGAACUACAUGUGUUGUCUCCCAUGGCUUCUAACUAGUAUUUCUCAGCAGCAUAAUGGUCACCCACCCAGCAAGGGUUUCCCAGGAAUGUAGAAGACAACAUAUUUUUGGUCUGCCAAGAUUUUUCACCAAACGGAACAUGUAGGCUUCCAUGCACAACUAUAUCUACAGGUGCCUAACAGGGCACUAGA